rnacentral:rRNA from 1 species
UGGGGAAGUAUUGCACAAUGGGGGAAACCCGUACGAUGCAGCGACGCCGCGUGAGUGAAGAAGUAUUUCGGUUAUGUAAAGACUCUAUCAGCAGGGAAGAAGAAGACGGUACCGGACUAAGAAGCCCCGGCUAACUACGUGCCAGCAGCCGCGGUAAUACGUAGGGGGCGAAGCGUUAUCCGGAUUUACUGGGUGUAAAGGGAGCGUAGACGGUUGAUCAAGUCUGAUGUGAAAGCCCGGGGCGUCAACCCCGGGACUGCAUUGGAAACUGAAUAGCUGGAGUGCAGGGGAGGUAAGUGGAAUUCCUAGUGUAGCGGUGAAAUGCGUAGAUAUUAGGAGGAACACCAGUGGCGAAGGCGGCUUACUGGACUGUAACUGACG